CUCAGGAGGCAGAGGCAGGCAGAUCUCUGUAAAUUCGAGGCCAACCUGGACUCUGCCUUUGCACAGUUUGCCAGGCUGUGAGGAGCCCAGCGCGAGGGGCUGGAAGCCCGUGGUGAUGGAGAGAAGCUGGGUCCUGCACUUCAGAGACCAUCUUCUGGGCAAGGAAAGCCUGCUCUUUACAAGAGUCACUCUCGCGGUGCUUUGUUUGUAUGUAAUAAAUAAAGUCUGCCUGAAGACCAGAAUGCAAAGCUAAGCCACUAGAGGCCAGGGAAUGAUGUCACAAACCUUUAAUCCCAGGACUCGGGAGACAGAGGCAGAAGGAUCUCUGUGAGUUCAAGGUUACCCUGGGCUACACGGGAUCCAUCAAGAAACAAAUCUAGGUGGUAGUAGCUCACAUCUUUAAUCCCAGUGUUUGGGAGUCACACACUUUUAAUCCCAGCACUAGGGAUGUGGAGACAGGAAUAAUAUGGCUGAGGGGAGAAAGAAACAUAAAGGGAACUCACUGGACUGAGGAGUCUGGGGAUUUGUGGAAACAGGAUCUUGCCCUUUCGGUCUGAAGAUUUGGCAGAGGUGAAAGAUCUCUCUAGUGCUUGGCUGCUUUGCUUUCUGAUCUUGAGCUUGAACCCCAA